CCGGUUUGUAAUUGAAAAACGAGAAAUUUUGAAACAAUUACGUUUUUUUGUCUACAUUUACUGCUGUUUGAGGAUGCUUCUGUCGAGUUAUGACAGGACAGUAUCCAUGCUCCCUGUCCGACACCCUCCCAUGUUGCAGUUAACAUUUUCCUGCCAGUCUUCUUCCCCCAUCAUGCCCAACUGACUGGUCCAAUAUUGUUCAAAACUAUAUGGAAAUGCCUCGUCAUCGUAGUUUGGAGUAUGUGCAGAGCACUCAGAAUAACAAGCAGUUUAUUUGCUUGAUGAGACUGAUUUGCCGGGGAAGGGAACAGACACUGCUGUGAGCAUGAUGAUCACUACUUCAAGUACCAUGGUUUGGAGAAGAAAAGCCGAAAUUGGCACUUUGGUCUUUGGAAAAGCAGGUAGAUAAUAAAUUUUGCACAUUUAUCCCUAUAGUAGAGUACUUUAAUUUUGAAAAUACUUACCUAACAGAAUUGAGCCCUAGAUUUUCAAGAGUAUUCACUUAAGAUGUUAGCCUUUUAAUUGUUAUCUGUUACAUGUCAAAAAAAUAACCUUGACCAUAACUCAAUAACUGUUGAAAUUGAUAAAAUGCAACUUUGCAUACCUAUUGCCAGAGGACGAAUGUAUAUGUGAACUUUCAUAAGUAUGUUAUUUCUAUAUUACAUUUCAAAUUUUCAACAAUGAUCAACAAAAAUAAAUGCUGUUUUAACUAGUCAAGAAACUCCUCACUUUG